CAAUAGCGUAUAUUAAAGUUGUUGCAGUUAAAAAGCUCGUAGUUGGAUUUGUGGCGUACGGUGUGUUCCGGGCACUUGUUGUCUGAGUAACCUGCUGUUGCCAUCCUUGGGUGGAACCUGUGUGGCAUUAGGUUGUCGUGCAGGGGAUGCCCAUCAUUUACUGUGAAAAAAUUAGAGUGUUCAAAGCAGGCUUAUGCCGUUGAAUAUAUUAGCAUGGAAUAGUGAGAUAGGACUUUUUUGCUAUUUUGUUGGUUUGCGCAAGAAGGUAAUGAUUAAUAGGGACAGUUGGGGGUAUUCGUAUUCCAUUGUCAGAGGUGAAAUUCUUGGAUUUUUGGAAGACGAACUACUGCGAAAGCAUUUACCAAGGAUGUUUUCAUUAA
rnacentral:rRNA from 1 species